UCAAAUCGGAACCCGCCUGUGGCUGAGGCCACAGACCUGCCAUGGCUGUGAACUGACCUAAGGACACGGAGGGCGGCUUGGGAUUAGUUGCUGUUGAAGGCGCUCCUCCAAUGAAAUCUCCUCUGCUCUCUGAUUUGGCGGUUCUUCUGAGCAAAUAUGACAGCCUUUUGUCCAGGCUCCUUUCCGCUCCUCCACGUCCAUCCCCAGAGCCCAGCUCACCAUCUGCAAUUUCUACACCAGAACCUUUAUACAAUUACCAGCAGCAGCACCACCACCACCACCCAGUCCCAUUCCUGCAAGUCCAUGAUUGCUGUAAAGGUGACAUGACACAUUGGGAAGAACACUGGGCUUCUCGAUUGCCGAAGACGCUUAAGCUCAGUUUUUCCAGUGAAAUGAGAAACACUGAAAUCUCAAACGGAAGAACACAGAAUUAGGUACAUCACCUUUUGUAUCACAAAAACAAACAAGGAGCAAGUUGGUUUAGUAUGUCUAAUUCAUUUCAGUUUAAUUCUCAAUGUCCAUGUUCUGGGAAGUGUCAAAGAGAAUACAGAAUAGCAAA